UUUCUUUUUCUGAAUUUGAGCCACCGUUUCCGUCGUCUCGCAAUCAACACGCGAACUCCGGGGCGAUGGACCCGUUUACCGAGAAACUGCUUGAACGAACCCGUGCCAGGCGAGAGAAUCUUCAGAGAAAGAUGGCUGAGAGGCCCACAGCAGCAGCAAGGUCUGCCAUGCAUGCUAAGAGAACCAGAGAGCCACUUACUGAAGCAAGUAACCAACAGCCUCUACCUGGUAGUGAAGAGAAAUCUUGUACAAAACCAUCACCAUCAAAAAAACGCUGUUCUGACAACGCUGAAGUAGAAGUUUCUAACUUGGAAAAUGAAAAGCCAGUGGAGUCAGCUUCUGCAAAAGCCUGUCCUCCAAGUCCUCUGCCUCCUCGGGCGCAGCCACAGACGCCAGCUCCUGUCAGUGAUGCCGAGGCUGUCCCGGCACCGCUGCCGGGUGUGAGGACAGGGCUUAACUCAAGACUGGAAGCGAGGGCAGGCUCUUCAGUGAAAACACGAAUGCAAAGACUGGCGGAGCAGCGGCGCCAUUGGGAUAAUAAUGACAUGACAGACGAGAUACCCGAAAGCUCACUCAUGUCACCAAUGCCAUCAGAGGGAAGGGCUGCCUCGCCUCCCAAACCACCCCCUGCAGAUGCCUCGGCAACCGCAGUUGGUAGAAGGGGCCGUCUGGCCAACCUUGCCGCAACUAUUUGCUCGUGGGAAGACGAUGUAAAUUACUCAUCUGCGAAGCAAAACAGUGCACAAGAACAGCCUGGUACCACUUGUUUAUCCAAAUUUUCCUCUGCAAGUGGAGCAUCUGCUAGGAUCAAUAGCAGCAGUGUCAAGCAGGAAGCUGCAUGCUGUUCCCAAAGGGAUGGUGAGGCCUCUUUGAAUAAAGCUCCGUCCUCGAGUGCCGUGGGCGCAUCUUUGAAUGAUGCUACAGUUUCCAGCUCUGUGAAAGCUGCUUCUUCCCCAGUGAAAUCUUCUACUGUAUCCCUUGCUGAAGCUAAAAAUUGUGAGGUACAAAAUCCUGAGCUACUUCAGAAAACUCCUGUUAGUCUCCUGAAAACAGAGGUAUCGAAACCAACUGGGAAGUCAACCGUGUCCCAGACAGUUGGGCCUAAAGAAGAAUUAAAUAGAGAAAUAUGUCGGCAGUCUCAAUCUAAAGACAAAUCUGCAACACCAGGAGGAGCAGGAAUUAAGCCUUUCCUGGAGCGCUUUGGAGAGCGUUGUCAAGAACACAGCAAACAAAGUCCUGCUCGGAGCACACCCCAAAGAACCCCCAUUAUCACUCCAAAUACAAGGGCCAUCCAAGAAAGAUUAUUCAAGCAAAACACAUCUUCAUCUACUACUCAUUUGGCACAACAGCUCAAGCAGGAACGUGAGAAAGAACUAGCAUGUCUUCGUGGCCGAUUUGACAAGGGCAAUUUAUGGAGUGCAGAAAAAGGCGAAAGCUCGAGAAGCAAACAACUAGAAACCAAACAGGAAAUUCACUGUCAGAACACUCCCCUCAAAAAACACCAAGCUGUUUCAAAUACCCCAUCGCUUCCAGUAACGGAAAAGGUGACAGAAAAUCAAACACCAGGAAAACCUUCCAGCACAGAACCUACAGGUUUCACUGAACAUAAAAUGACGAAGUCUAGCCCUUUGAAAAUCACAUUGUUUUUAGAAGAGGAUAAGUCUUUAAAAGUAACAUCAGACCCAAAGGUUGAGCAGCAGACUGAAGUGGUACGUGAAACUGAGAUGAGUGUGGAUGAUGACGAUGAUAUCAAUAGUUCAAAAGUAAUUAAUGACAUCUUCAGUGAUGUCCUGGUGGAAGGUGAGCUGGACAUGGAAAAGAGCCAAGAGGAGAUGGACCACGCAGAAGCAGAAAGCGCUGAAGAACAGGAAGAUGCACUGAACAUCUCCUCCAUGUCUUUGCUUGCUCCGUUAGCACAGACCGUUGGUGUGGUAAGUCCGGAGAGUUUAGUUUUCUCACCUCGAUUGGAAUUGAAAGAUUCCAGCGUAAGUGAUGAAAGUCCAAAGCCAGGGAAAUUCCAAAGAACCCGUGUUCCUCGAGCUGAGUCAGGUGAUAGCAUUGGUUCUGAAGAUCGUGAUCUUCUUUAUAGCAUUGAUGCAUACAGAUCUCAAAGAUUCAAAGAAACGGAACGUCCUUCAAUAAAGCAAGUGAUUGUUCGGAAGGAAGAUGUUACUUCGAAGUUGGAUGAGAAAAAGAAUGCCUUUCCUGGUCAAGUGAACAUCAAACAGAAAAUGCAGGAACUCAAUAAUGAAAUAAAUUUGCAGCAGACAGUAAUCUAUCAAGCCAGCCAGGCUCUUAACUGCUGUGUUGAUGAAGAUCACGGAAAAGGGUCACUAGAAGAAGCGGAAGCAGAAAGACUUCUCCUCAUUGCUACUGAGAAGAGAACACUUUUGAUUGAUGAGUUGAAUAAAUUGAAGAACGAAGGGCCCCAGAGGAAGAACAAGGCUGGUCCCAUAUCCCCAAGUGAAUUUGUCGCAUCCAAGGGAUCAGUUACUUUGUCAGAAAUCCGCUUGCCUCUAAAAGCAGAUUUUGUCUGUGGUACAGUUCAGAAACCAGAUGCAGCAAAUUACUAUUUCUUAAUUAUACUAAAAGCAGGAGCUGAAAAUAUGGUAGCCACACCAUUAGCAUGUACUUCAAAUUCUCUUAAUGGUGAUGCUCUGACAUUCCCUACUACGUUUACUCUGCAAGAUGUGUCCAAUGACUUUGAAAUAAAUAUUGAAGUUUACAGCUUGGUACAAAAGAAAGAACUCUCAGGCCCUGAUAAGAAGAAAAAGGCACACAAGUCCAAGGCUAUUACUCCAAAGCGACUUCUCACAUCUAUAACCACAAAGAGCAGCCUUCAUUCUUCAGUCAUGGCCAGUCCAGGUGGUCUCCAUGCUGUGCGUACCAGCAACUUUGCCCUUGUUGGGUCUUACAUACUGUCAUUAUCUUCAGUAGGAAACACUAAAUUUGCUCUGGACAAGAUAAAUUAUGAUGUAAAAGAGCGAGAGCUACUGGGCUAUAUGUUCCAGGAAAAGGUUGCCAUAUUUUCUUUGCUUGAAACUAAUGAGCUUAAAAAAUCAAUCCUUAAUUUUUGGCUCAAAUGUAUUCAUUUCACUAACCACUCAUGUAUUCUUGGUUAUUUUAAAUAAUUAAGGACACGAUGUACAUUAUUCUUUCUUUAGAUUCUUGCAGAUGGGUGUCUUUUUCUUUACUCUCAUAAUUCUUUAAAGCUCUCUUUGACAGUCCUCUUAUUUUUUUCAUGCAUGUUUGGUACUUGGUCUUUUCUUCUAUAUUCUUUUUUUAUGUUACAAUUCUUUAAGAUUCCAUAGUCACUUCAACUUUGAUUUUAUGUGUACUAAAAUACCAAAUUAAUAACUAAAACUAAAAUGUAUUCAGUAUUGUUGACCUCCCCUAUAUUGAAAGAGCUACUGUUGAUGUUUAUAAAAGUGGUCUCAAUUGGCUAAUAGGAUUAUUGCUAUGUAGAUGAUGCUUUGUUCAGUGACUUUGAAAUUAAAUUGUGUUUAACACUAAAAUUGUACUAAGUAUAAUCAUAUGUUUUACAGUUUUUUUUAGGAUUUUUAAUUUCCUUGCAAAUAUCAAUUGCAGACAUUCUGUGGGUAUAUAGAAAUUUACAAAGUGCCAAUUUCUACACGUGUAAGAGAUUUUGUUAAUCUUUAAAAUGAAAGAGAUUUCAAUGAGGUAUGUUAAAUAUAGACUGGUCUUGAGAAAUGUUUUGGGUGCCAUUUUAAUUCAAAAUAUCACCCUUACAAAUAAAAAAAAAUGCCGAUAUUUUCAUUCUUUUAAUAUCUUUGAAAUUAUGUCUUAAAUAGCCAACCACAUGAUUGGGCACAAAAUCAAAUCACUCAAUUUGGUUGUGUCUAAUACUCUAAAAUCUCUUUCUGAAUCAAAUACAAUCACAUGCUUCUGUGAGUGGCAGGGGGAAGCAAAUAUUUGUUCCAAUAGUUUACAGUUGAUGUAGGAGAAUAUUUAAAAUAGUAAAAUUUAGAUGUUCUUUAAAUUGGUGAGAAAAAUGGAAGACCUUUUAUACUCCUAUAAUAAUCCUAUUUAAUUGACUUUGAGAAAAUAGACAAGUGACCCAUAUCCAAUCAGAUACCAGCGAUAUAAAGUGAGUGUUUGCUUAUUUUAUUGGUGCCGUGACAACAGCAGUCAUAAAGGUUAUCUCUUAGGUCACCUUCAGAAUGGAAUUCCUGUUGAGGUUAUCCCAGACUGUUUGCUCUGUAGAUUUAGGAGACCACUGAUAGCAAUUGCCUUCUUAUUUGAGGUUAAGUAUGGCAUCCUGGAAUUUAAAUUACGAAUCUCCAUGAGUCACAGGCUCUCAAGUCUUUUCUUUGAAUAGAGAAUCCGAAAUAGUCAUAGAUUUUAUUACACUUUCAUGGAUAAAGAGAAAAGGACAUCCCACAGCUCAUCUUUUGACUUAAAGAAACCUCAUAGGUACCCUUUUUAUGUCCCUUGGAAGGUCAUAUUUAUUUAAAAAUAAAAUGUCAAGUGAAUUCAAGUGUUGAAGAAAGA